rnacentral:pre_miRNA from 1 species
UUUUCCUAUGUUUAUGAAUAAAUGUGAUUCCGCAAUAUAUUUUAAAAACAGGACACUUUCCCCUGGUUUUUAAAAUACGGGUGCGAUGAGUCACAUUUAUUGAAAAACAUAGGAA